UCCCAGCCUUAAACGAUGCUCGCUAGGUGUCAGAUGCGGUGCGACCGCAUCUGGUGCCGCAGUGAAAACCUGAAGCGAGUCACCUGGGAAGUACGGUCGCAAGGCUGAAACUUAAAGGAAUUGGCGGGGGAGCACUACAACGGGUGGAGUCUGCGGUUCAAUUGGAUUCAACGCCGGGAAGCUUACCGGGUUCGACAGCACUAUGAAGGUCAGGCUAAAGACCUUACCGGAUUCGCUGAGAGGAGGUGCAUGGCCGUCGUCAGUUCGUAUCGUGAGACAUCCUGUUAAGUCAGGCAACGAGCAAGACCCGUGCCCACAGUUGCCAGCAUACCCUUCGGGGUGAUGGGCACACUGUGGGGACCGCCGCUGCUAAAGCGGAGGAAGGAGCGGGCUACGGUAGGUCAGUAUGCCCCGAAUGACCCGGGCUACACGCGGACUACAAUGGUUGGGACAAUGGGCACCUACACCGAGAGGUGACG
rnacentral:rRNA from 1 species